UGGGGAAUAUUGCACAAUGGGCGAAAGCCUGAUGCAGCGACGCCGCGUGAGGGAUGACGGCCUUCGGGUUGUAAACCUCUUUCAGCAGGGACGAAGCGCAAGUGACGGUACCUGCAGAAGAAGCACCGGCUAACUACGUGCCAGCAGCCGCGGUAAUACGUAGGGUGCAAGCGUUGUCCGGAAUUACUGGGCGUAAAGAGUUCGUAGGCGGUUUGUCGCGUCGUUUGUGAAAACCAGCAGCUCAACUGCUGGCUUGCAGGCGAUACGGGCAGACUUGAGUACUGCAGGGGAGGCUGGAAUUCCUGGUGUAGCGGUGAAAAGCGCAGAUAUCAGGAGGAACACCGGUGGCGAAGGCGGGUCUCUGGGCAGUAACUGACGCUGAGGAACGAAAGCGUGGGUAGCGAACAGG
rnacentral:rRNA from 1 species